rnacentral:rRNA from 1 species
AUUUCGUAGGGUUGAUAUGAAGUUAAGUCUCUAUGCCUUGAGUUUCUAACUGGAUUAAUGACCCGGGCAUC